rnacentral:rRNA from 1 species
GUUUCCCAGUCACGAUACGUUUGGCGGCGUGGAUGAGGCAUGCAAGUCGCACGUGAAAGUCGCAAGACGAGUAAAGUGGCGGACGGGCGAGUAACACGUAAUCGAGCUGCCCACGAGACGGGGAUAACCUCGGGAAACCGAGGCUAAUACCCGAUGGUCUCACCGGACUGCAUGGUUUGGUGAGUAAAUGCUGGGGUUCUUCGGGACCUGGUGCUUGUGGAGGUGAUUGCGGCCCAUCAGCUAGUUGGCGGGGUAACAGCCCACCAAGGCUAUGACGGGUAGCCGGCCUAAGAGGGUGGUCGGCCGCACUGGGACUGAGAUACUGCCCAGACUCCUACGGGAGGCUGCAGUCGAGAAUCUUCCGCAAUGGGCGCAAGCCUGACGGAGCGACGCCGCGUGUAGGACGAAGGCCUUCGGGUUGUAAACUACUGUCACGGAUUAAGAAUUCUCCGGUGUUAACAGCGCCGGAGUUGACGUAAGUCCGAGAGGAAGCACUGGCUAACUCUGUGCCAGCAGCCGCGGUAAUACAGAGAGUGCAAACGUUGUUCGGAAUUACUGGGCUUAAAGCGCACGUAGGCGGCUCCGCAAGUGUCGGGUGAAAUCCCACGGCUUACCCGUGGAACUGCCCGGCAGACUGCGGAGCUAGAGGAUGGUAGGGGAGAGCGGAACUCCUGGUGGAGCGGUGAAAUGCGUAGAUAUCAGGAGGAACACCGGUGGCGAAGGCGGCUCUCUGGUCCAUAACUGACGCUGAGGUGCGAAAGCUAGGGGAGCAAACGGGAUUAGAUACCCCGGUAGUCCUAGCUGUAAACGAUGGGCACUAACUUGGGGUCUCCCUGUGUGAUCCCAGGUGUAGCAAAAGUGAUAAGUGCCCCGCCUGGGGCGUAUAUCGUGACUGGGAA